rnacentral:rRNA from 1 species
AUUGCCCUAGUAACGGCGAGUGAAGCGGCAACAGCUCAAAUUUGAAAUCUGGCUUCGGCCCGAGUUGUAAUUUGUAGAGGAAGCUUUUGGUGAGGCACCUUCUGAGUCCCCUGGAACGGGGCGCCAUAGAGGGUGAGAGCCCCGUAUAGUCGGAUGCCGAUCCAAUGUAAAGCUCCUUCGACGAGUCGAGUAGUUUGGGAAUGCUGCUCAAAAUGGGAGGUAAAUUUCUUCUAAAGCUAAAUACCGGCCAGAGACCGAUAGCGCACAAGUAGAGUGAUCGAAAGAUGAAAAGCACUUUGAAAAGAGGGUUAAAUAGCACGUGAAAUUGUUGAAAGGGAAGCGUUUGUGACCAGACUUGCGCCGUUCCGAUCAUCCGGUGUUCUCACCGGUGCACUCGGGACGGCACAGGCCAGCAUCGGUUUUGGCGGGGGGACAAAGGCCCUGGGAACGUAGCUCCUCCGGGAGUGUUAUAGCCCAGGGCGUAAUGCCCUCGCCGGGACCGAGGUUCGCGCAUCUGCAAGGAUGCUGGCGUAAUGGUCAUCAACGACCCGUCUUGAAACACGGACCAAGGAGUCAAGGUUUUGCGCGAGUGUUUGGGUGUAAAACCCGCACGCGUAAUGAAAGUGAACGUAGGUGAGAGCUUCGGCGCAUCAUCGACCGAUCCUGAUGUAUUCGGAUGGAUUUGAGUAAGAGCGUUAAGCCUUGGACCCGAAAGAUGGUGAACUAUGCUUGGAUAGGGUGAAGCCAGAGGAAACUCUGGUGGAGGCUCGCAGCGGUUCUGACGUGCAAAUCGAUCGUCAAAUCUGAGCAUGGGGGCGAAAGACUA